GGUGACUCAGUGGUAGAGCACUUGCCUGGCAUGCAUGAGUCCCUGGGUUCGAUUCCUCAGCACCA
rnacentral:tRNA from 1 species